rnacentral:lncRNA from 1 species
GGGAAAAGGGAUUAAAUCCCUGAGCCCUCCCGGCUGCAUAUUCAACACUUUCUUCUAAAGUACCAAAAUACUCAAGUUGUAUUUUCCUCCUCAGCCUGCAAAGAAAAUAAGGGUUUCUGGGAUUGAGAAUAACAACCAUCAUAAUUAACUCUGAGAAAAACAUAAUACUUAGUUCUAGAAACUAAAUGGCAACACAUUGUUAAAUUGAUAUUUAACCACAACACUGAACCACACUCCACUGUGCUGAUUAUAUGUGAGAGAGAGCUCAGAAAACCCCAGAAAAUGAGCUUGUGUUUCCACAACCCUAGAAAAUCAAUGUGUCACAGAUGUUACCGUGGACAUUUGCAGAUCAGAGAGGGGAC